GGGACCAGCUGUGUGACAUCGGGAAGUGAUUUAUCCCCCCGGUGUCCGGGUGUCCUAAUCAGUAAAAUAGAGAUGUUCAUGAUGACCUUAGAAACCAUGUGAAGAAGAGGAGCCACAAAAUGGAAGGAAAGCCACCACCAGUCAAAACAUACAUUUUGGACUUUAUAUCUCUCAAGGCUUGGUGAGAACACUUAGAGGAAUGGGAUGAAUUGUGCUAGCAGGAAGCAAAAGGGGAAAUGCCUAAACAUCAUCUGGAUCUUCUGAACUACUCUUUACAAA